AGGCUCUUUCGAGAUCUUUACAAAUCAUUUGGAAGAUGAUCCCUACAUACUGUACAAGUUUAGAGAUUCUAUUGCGAUCGCAUCGUCUAAGAAAGGCCAUAUCGUUACUGUUAAUAGGCGCUUGGAUAUAGAUUCACAAUUUUACGCCUUCCUCAAUACACAAAAGAGCAAGGAAUAUUUGUCUAUUGUAAUCUCUUUGUCUUUCAAUGAAUGGUGUAGGUAUGAUAUUUGUGUCAGUUGCAAUGGCAAAGAUCGGAAACCAACUGUAAACGGGGAUAAGCGACCAGACGUUGCUUACUUCAAGUGGUCCAAGGGUAUAGAUUUCGUUGAUCGUCGUUAUAUAACGGAUUAUAGGACUACUGGAAUUAGCGCAGAGUAUGUGAGCGUUGGAAGUCCGAAAAUUGUGUUGAGCUGCUACGACCGAUACCGGGAGAUAAGACUGCGAACUCCAA